rnacentral:rRNA from 1 species
GCGCAGCAGUCGCGCAACCUCUGCAAUACGCGAAAGCGUGACAGGGCUACCCCGAGUGCCGUCCGCUGAGGAUGGCUUUUCUCCGGUGUAGUAAGCCGGAGGAAUAAGGGGAGGGCAAGUCUGGUGUCAGCCGCCGCGGUAAUACCAGCUCCCCGAGUGGUUGGGACGAUUAUUGGGUCUGAAGCGUCCGUAGCCGGCCGGAAAAGUUCCCCGUUAAAUCUGGCGAUCCAAUCGUUGGGCUGCGGGGAAUACUCUUCGGCUUGGGGGCGAGGGAGGUCGGCGGUAGUCCCGGGGUAGGGGCGAAAUCCUAUAAUCCCGGGAGGACCACCAGUGGCGAAGGCGGCCGACUAAAACGCGCCCGACGGUGAGGGACGAAAGCUGGGGGAGCGAACGGGAUUAGAUAUGAAGUUGAGUUUUUGCCAGCUUCACUAGAUACCCGGGUAGUCC